AUCCUUUUGUAGUUCAUAAGCGUGAUGAUUGGGUGUUCAUGCGCAUGGGUGAGAUGUGCCUCCCUGAAGCCUUGUUAUGACAUGGGCAUGUUACCCAUCUGAUA
rnacentral:snoRNA from 1 species